rfam:Triticum aestivum genome assembly, contig: Triticum_aestivum_CS42_TGACv1_scaffold_030866_1BL
UAUCUACUCCCUCCGUCCGGAAAUACUUGUCAUCAAAAUAAAUAAAAGGGGAUGUAUAUGGAUGAAUUUUAGUUCUAGAUACAUCCCUUUUUGUCCAUUUUGAUGACAAGUAUUUUCGGACGGAGGGAGUAUAUC